ensembl:lncRNA
CAGCCAGGGAGGAAAACAAAACAAAGCAAACAAACAAAAAGACCUGUAUCGAACAGCUGACAAGGGAAGUUUAAUUUUUUAGUUUUUUUAGUUGAGUGUGUUGAAUGUCUGCUAAAGAAAAGAUCUCCUGGGGAGUUCCUUUUGUGGCUCAGCAGGUUACAAACCCGAAUAGUAUCCAUGAGGAGGCAGGUUUGAUCCCUGGCCUUGCUCAGUGAGUGAAGGAUCCGGCGUUGCUGUGAGCUAUAGUGUAGGUUGCAGAUGUGGCUCAGAUGCUGUAUACUAGUGGAUGUGGUGUCGGCUGGCAGCUACAGCUGNNNNNNNNNNNNNNNNNNNNNNNNNNNNNNNNNNNNNNNNNNNNNNNNNNNNNNNAAAAAAAAAAAAAAAAAAAAAAAAAAAAAAGAAGGAUAGAUCUUCUGGUUACUUUAACUGGAAACCAGUUUGCCUCCUGAGUGUACAAGUGUGUGGUAUGGGCUGCAGAUAGCUGCUCAGAAUUGAGGCAAACUGGUGGCCAUGGGGGUGAGGGGUGCUUUUGUAGAUACUCGAGGCGUUGUUCAUUGAGCUCCUUUGAGUGACAGGAUUGAACUAUUGCUGACUGAUUACAAGUGGCUUUGUUUUCUAAGCCCUUUAUAUAAUCUGACAAUUACUCUAAUACUGGAAAAUGUGCCUCACACACCUGGUGAAAACCACUGAGUUACAAGACUGGUUCGUGUCUCUCUGAAUUGCCACCUGACACGCUUUUCCCAUCAAAGGCAUGUUUUUAUAGGCUGAAAGAACAGAGGACGGGUCCUUCUUUUCAUUCAGACCUCAACUUAGAUGUCCUCCUCCCAUCUCCCACCCCAGCCAAAAAGGACUUCCCCAAGCAACCCUAGCUAAGGAGUGCGUCAUGACACUCUGUCACUCCUUUCGCUUUCCCUUUUUAAUUCGCUUUCCCCAUCUGAUACUUUACAGUGUUACCUGGUCUUUCCUCAGUCUUUACCUACAGGGAGGUCAGCUGAGAUUUCAUCUGUUUUGACCCCCUUGUAUCCUCAGCGGCUAAAGCAAUGCCCCACAUUUAAUAAGCACUCAAAGAUUCUUCCCACUCACCUGUCUUCUUCUCUGAAUCUUCCCUUCUUCCCAUCUCUGAGGCCAUUUCAGCAUCUCUGCCUGGAAUCAGGCCUUCCUGUCUCCUCCCCCUUGCUAUGGAAUCUGUGGUGCUUUAUGUUCUGCAUUUCUGUCAUUAACCAGCACCUACUUCCUGGUGGUGGCUUCUGACUGGCAGGCGCGAUGAUAACACAUCGACUGUUAUCACGAUAAGCACCUGAGACAAGUGAUUUGUAUCACAUUUUCCAACCACAGAAUAGCUGUAUAUAAAAUUUGCUGUAUACUUGAAACUAAUACAACAUUGUAAAUCAACUAUACUUCAAUUAAAAAAGAAAUAGGGGAGUUCCUGUUGUGGCGCAGUGGUUAACGAAUCGGACUAGGAACCAUGAGGUUGCAGGUUCAAUCCCUGCCCUUGCUCAGUGGGUUAAGGAUCCUGCGUUGCCGUGAGCUGUGGUGUAGGUCGCAGACACGGCUCGGAUCCUGCGUUGCUGUGGCUCUGGUGUAGGCUGGCAGCCGCAGCUCCGAUUGGACCCCUAGCCUGGGAACCUCCAUAUGCCAUAGGAGCGGCCCAAGAAAUGGC